ensembl:lncRNA
GUGACUUUGUAGCUUAUUGUAAAAAUAAACAAUUAUAUUUGAAUAGAAACCACCAGAAGGCCAUUCACACUGUGUGAAAUCAAUGCUGCAACACAAUAAAUGUAUUGUGGUGACUAAUUCCUUUGAUUUGUAUGUGGCUAACAGGUUUUUUUAGUCCAUGGGGAUUGACGUCUUAAUUGAAGAGGAUAUGGAAUUGUAGAGCUGUGAAGAUGAUGACACGGCCCUCUUCCUCUCCGGUUUGCCUGCAGGGGUCUAGAUGAUUUCAUUCAUUUAGAAGCUUUCAGAAGCCAUGCUCAGGUGAAAGUGAGACACAGGAGACUCUCUCAAGCUGCAACUGUGAAGGAUUUUCCCAAGCAAACUAAUUAAAGCCUCCAUUCACCGUUCACUUUCACUGCCAGAACAUUCUGCCCCAAAUCUUUUGUCUUCUACGAAAGAAAGAGAAAACAUGUUUGGAACGACAUGAGGGUGUGGUCCUUCGGCCAGGUGGCUCGAUGCGUAUCUCAUGCAUAUGAAUGAGUCUAUUUUAAUGGAAUUAAUAUUUUUACCACGUUGUUGCGGGCCUUAUGGCAUGCAGCUUGGAUUUAUCGUGACGGAAUUCUUUCUCCCCGAAAAACAACAACCGACAACAGUGCUGGAGAAAAGAUGCGAAUCAUAACGUCUAACAGGAGUUGUGUGAGACAGAAAGAUAGUUUGGAGACGGGUCGAGUGUAUUCAGUGUUUCAGAGAACAUCCAACUGUGCGGAGGAGAUGGCAGCCCCAGCUUAGCAUGCUCGCGCUGAGGAACUGGCACCACGUCUAAAUGACAUGGAAGUCUUGAAUAAUAAACAGUAGUUCUUUUCUCUUCCUGUGGCCAGUUCAGUUCAUCUUCCAACUCACUGGGAUCACAGCCACAUCUCAUAUUCAGAAUGUUCCUCAAGCCUGCUAUGUGCAAAGACUGUGCCUCUACCUUGUGUGUACAUGCUAAGAGUUCAUGUCAACAUCAAUACUACAUACAUAUAUCAUGAGUUGACAUUUACACAGCAUACGUGAGUAGGCAGUAUCACCAGAGUUUCAUGGCUGGGGGAAAUAUGAGGCAUCAGACUGCUUUGUACUGCUUAUUAUGACCUUUGGAGGCUGGGUUCAGACUUCUAUUGCUCCAGACGACAGGUUUAGACCUGACCUUUAACGAACUGCUGCCUCCCCAUCACAGAUAUCGGCUGGAGCAUCAUCUGUUUGUUGUCCACUGGACUUCAUGAUGUGCCAUUAUCGUGUUGUUGUAAAGAAUGUUCC